rnacentral:snoRNA from 1 species
CCCAGCUCUAGGCAGCUGCCUAGUUUGCAUUGUACCUAGGUAAGUGUUACACAGGUGGGAGAAAAGCAGCUAAGAGCUGGUGGGCAUCCUGGGCCUGGUUAAUGCCAAAUACG